UACGUAGGGCGCAAGCGUUGUCCGGAAUUAUUGGGCGUAAAGCGCGCGCAGGUGGUUUCUUAAGUCUGAUGUGAAAGCCCACGGCUCAACCGUGGAGGGUCAUUGGAAACUGGGGAGCUUGAGUGCAGGAGAGAAGAGUGGAAUUCCACGUGUAGCGGUGAAAUGCGUAGAGAUGUGGAGGAACACCAGUGGCGAAGGCGACUCUUUGGCCUGUAACUGACACUGAGGCGCGAAAGCGUGGGGAGCAAACAGG
rnacentral:rRNA from 1 species